UAAAUUAUCUGAUCUAGAGAAGCAUUUGAUAAGCUUAAACUCUGGAGAUGAGAAUGCAGUCAAAGCUGCGAUUGAAGAAUUUGCAGUGGAAGUCCAGCCUGAUGAAGAAAGUGUUUUAAACAAGCAGUCAAUAAUUGAUGAGUGCUUCUCCAAAGAUACAUCACAAGGAUAAGGAAAGGUAUGAUACCAGCUGGUUAUGUCACUGUCAGGGUCGGAUUAGCUCUUGGAGAGUUGCGAAAGGAAAAUAAUUUCCUAAGAAGCCUUUGGCCAGUAACUAAUCCACCUUCAAGUCAAGAACAUCUUUUACAUCCUCAACUUUUACAAAAGCUUCUCCGUCGCCCAUUCCUUGCU